rnacentral:rRNA from 1 species
GGGGGAAUCUUGCGCAAUGGGCGAAAGCCUGACGCAGCCAUGCCGCGUGAAUGAUGAAGGUCUUAGGAUUGUAAAAUUCUUUUAGCAGGGACGAUAAUGACGGUACCUGCAGAAAAAGCCCCGGCUAACUUCGUGCCAGCAGCCGCGGUAAUACGAAGGGGGCUAGCGUUGCUCGGAAUUACUGGGCGUAAAGGGAGCGUAGGCGGGUUAUCAAGUUGGAGGUGAAAGCCCAGGGCUCAACCUUGGAAUUGCCUUCAAAACUGAUAGCCUAGAGUAUGGAAGAGGUAAGUGGAACUCCGAGUGUAGAGGUGAAAUUCGUAGAUAUUCGGAAGAACACCAGUGGCGAAGGCGACUUACUGGUCCAUGACUGACGCUGAGGCUCGAAAGCGUGGGGAGCAAACAGGAUUAGAUACCCUGGUAGUCCACGCUGUAAACGAUGAUUGCUAGUUGUCGGGCGGCAUGCCGUUCGGUGACGCAGCUAACGCAUUAAGCAAUCCGCCUGGGGAGUACGGUC